UUCUUGUAUUUUAUCCCAGGACAAUCAAAUGUACAUCAAAAUUUGCAAAUGAGAAAGGAAGACUAUUUAUAGUGUUAAUUAAGAUCAAUCUUAUACAGUAAAGAAGAAGAAGAAUGUAACAGACUGAGAGAGAGAGAGAGAGAGAGAGAGAGAGAGAGAGAGAGAGAGAGAGAGAGAGAGAGAGAGAGAGAGAGAGAGAGAGAGAGAGAGAGAGAGAACUUAGAGAGAAGAUGAAUGUUCUUGAUAUAUUUCUUAACAACCAAGUGAUACAAUGUUGAGGUAUUUAUCUUCUUACAACUACAAAACUAACUUCCUUAACUAACAUCUCUUCUAAUCUAAUUACAAGUGGCAACAUCUUAUACACCAAUAUCUCUAUUCUAUCAUCCCCCGCAAACUCAUGAUUCGAUGCCCGAAGCAUGAGAUUGGUACAGUGAGUACGAAAUAAAGGAGAGCUCAACCCUUUAGUCAAAAUAUCAGCAAACUGCUCUUUAGAUGACAUAAACUGAACAGAAAGCAGUUUCUUUGCAACUCGUUCACGCACAAAAUGAACAUCAACCUCAAUGUGCUUAGUACGUUGAUGUUGAACCGGAUUAAAAGCCAAAGCAAUGGUUGACAAAUUAUCACAAAAUAAAACAGGGGGUGAUGUGAGAGGAACCUGCAGAAAGACUAACAGUUGCUGAAUCCAGUCUAAUUCAGCAGAAGUAGAGGACAAGGCUCGAUAUUCAGCCUCUUUGGAUGAGCGAGAGACUGUCAAUUGUUUCUUGGAUGACCAGGAUAUAGGAUUGUUUCCUAAAAACACAGCCAUGCCAGUAAUAGAACGCUUAUCAUUAGGGUUACCUGCCCAAUCAGCAUCACUAAAGGCCUCUAAUUGCAGUGGUCCUGAUGAAGGCUACCCUUUAAGUACCCUUUAAGUACCUCAAAAUGCGUUUGACAGCAGUGAAAUGAGCAAUCAUAGGCCGUUGCAUGAAUUGACAUACUUGAUAGACAGAAAAUGUUAUAUCCGGCCUUGUAAAUGUGAGGUACUGCAAUGCUCCUACUACACUCAUGUACAACGUUAGAUUGUUAUAGGGAGCACCAUCAUCUUUGAGAAGCCUGUUAUAGGGCAAACAAGGAGUCUCACAUGGCUUGGACUCAAGCAUCUCAGUUUUAGUAAGAAAAUCCAAAAUAUAUUUGGAUUGAGACAAACAUAAGUCAUGUGCAGUUCUAGAGAUUUGAAUGCCCAGAAAGAAAUGCAAAUCCCCUAGAUCCUUGAUAUCAAACUCAUUGGUUAAAGCACUAAUAACCUGUUGCAUAGCUGCAGCUGCAUUCCCAGUGAUAAUAAUAUCGUCCAUAUAAAGCAACAAUAUGACAAUACCAGAAUCAAUUGUCUUGACAAACAAGGAGGAGUCAGAAUAAGUGUGUUGAAAACCCAAGUGAGGCAAGAACUUGGUAAAUCGGUCAUUCCAAGCUCGAGGGGCUUGCUUAAGUCCAUAUAGAAACUUGUGCAACUUGCAAACAAGGUGAGAAGUAGUGACAUCAGCAAAAUCAGGAGGCUGGGUCAUAUACACCUCUUCCUCCAAAAUGCCAUGUAAAAAGGCAUUCUUUACAUCGAGUUGCCUAAGGGGCCAAUUGAAUUGAGCUGCCAAAGCCAAUACUAGGCGAACCGUGGUGGGUUUAACCACAGGACUGAAGGUUUCCCCAUAAUCAAGACCCGGUUUUUUACUGAACCCUUUAGCGACAAGCCGAGCUUUAUGGCGAGCAAUAGUGCCAUCAGAAUGUUUCUUAAUCUUGAAUAUCCAUUUGCAACCUACCAAGUUCUUUGUAGAAGGUAAUACCACUAAACUCCAGGUACCUUGUUUAUGUAAAGCACUGAUCUCCUCUUACAUAGCUUUCAACCAAGUAGGAUCCUUCAUUACAGUUUUAUAAGAAGUUGGUUCAAUAAGAGACAAAUCAGUACAGUCAGACUCCUGAAUAGUAGCUAAAAAAGCUUUGGUCUUGAUAAUACCACUUUUGCUCAGAGUUUGCAUAGGAUGCAAAUUGAGUGGUGGAACCUCCAACACCAUUUGCAAAGUACCAGGACCAAAUGGCUCUUCUAGAGAAGCUUCAGAACCAUUGACAAGUGCCACAAAGACUUGAGGACUAGAAUUGGAAGAACCAGUAAUGGAUUGAAAAGACAGUGGUGAUGAAAGAAUGGGAGAGAUUGAUAUGGGGAAUAAGCAAGUAAGGAUGAGGAGUCAGGAUUGGUAUGAGAUGAUGAUGAUAUAGAGGAUGAAAGAGAAGUAGGCAUAGGCAAAACAACAUUGUCAUUAGAAAUCACAAGUGCUGGAAGUGGGAAAUUAUGAAUUGAAGAAGAUUGAUAUAAGGGUUUAGGGUGUACCAACAAGGUUGUGUAAGGAAAUUGAUUCUCAUCAAACACGACAUGUCUAGAAAUAUAAACUCACUGUUUAGAAACCUCAUAACAUAUAUACCUUUUAUAUUUGGUAACAUACCCCAGAAAAAUACACUUGGUGGUCUUGGCUUGUAAUUUAGUAUCAUUAUAAGGCUUUAACAAUGGAUAGCACGCACAGCCGAAUAUUCGGAGAUGUGAGGUAACAGGAAGAUGACCAAACAAGAGUUCAAAAGGAGAUUUAUUUCCUAGCACAGAAGAAGGCAUUCGAUUAAUGAGGUAGACAACUGUUUGACAUGUAUACGAUCAAAAACUUGUAGGUAACCUAGCUGUUUGUAAUAGGGUCACAGUGGUUUCAAUAAUAUGCCUAUGCUUUCGCUCGGCUAUACCAUUUUGCUUGGGUGUAUGUGGGCAAGAAAGUUGAUGGGUAAUUCCUUUAUCAAGAAGAAAUGACUGAAAAACCUUACUAACAUACUCUCCCCCUCCAUCACUCUGUAAGGUUUAAAUAGCAGUUGCAAACUAAGUAAGAACAAAUGAAUAGAAUGCAACAAAAGUAGCAAAGACAUCAUAUUUGUUGAUUAAUGGAAACAGCCAACAAUGUCUUGUAUAUUCAUAGAUAAAGGUCACAUAAUAUCGGUAACCAUCAAUGGAAACAGAAGGAGUUGGACCCCAAAUAUCACUGUGAAUAACAGCAAAAGGUUUUACAGACUUAUUGGUACUUAGUGAAAAGGGAAGUUUACAAAACUUGCCCUCCAAACAACUAGAGCACAUUACAGGUAAUGAAGACUUUGAACAAGGGAUAUUAGCUUGCUUUAGCAUCAAAGAACCAAUGUUAUUAGAUGGAUGACCUAGUCUAUUGUGCCAAGUUGUAGAGUGAAAAUGUUGACCAAGGAAUGCUUUAGCUUGAAAUGGAGCUGAAUGUGUGGAAUGAGAGGUGGCAAAAAGGUAAGGGAUUGGAUAGAGGCCAUUACUGUAUUUUCCUUUGGAAAUGAUCCUCCAUGUGGCCUUGUCCUGAAUCCAGAAGCAAAAAGCAUCAAAAAUUAGCCAGCAAUUAUUAUCUAAACAGAUUCGAUGCACAGAUAACAAGUUUUGUAUCAACUUCGGAACAUAAAGCACAGAAUUGAGCUUAAUCGGAUGCACAGAAUUCAGUUUGGAAACAUUGAGAACUGUGCUACCAAUAUGAGACAUAGGCAAACCUUCACCAUUGGCAGUUUGAAUGGUAUCAGAUGUAGGAUAUGGAGAUGCCAGAGAUAGGUUACUAAGAUCGGCAAUCAUGUGAUUAGUAGCUCCAGAGUCAGUGAUCCACACUUGAGAAUUAGAAUAAGAAGUAGACGGUGAUGAUGGUGACUGAGUCAUCACAGUAUGCAAUGCUUGUGGAGAUUGUUGAUGAGGAUGAAAAGGUUGAGAUUGCAUUGAUGAAUGCUGAAAUGGAGCAUUAUAACUUGGAGCACCAUAUGUGGAUAUUUGCACUUGAGAAGGAUAGAACUGUCGAGUAGGACCACCAAAAUUAGGACCUUUGUCAUUGUAAAAACAGUACCAUGUGUUGUGAUUGUGCUUGCCACAUAUUUGAUAGUGAACUCUAUCAGGAGGUUUAGACUGACAAUAUGGAGCAGGGUGUCCUUCAACAUUACACGUUUGACAAAUAGGCAGCAAUGGUGCACUUGCAUUACCAAAGUAUUGUACUGGUGAUUGACCAAGUAUGCCUGGACUUGGUGUAGGGAGCACAUGGGUUUGAGUAUACUGUUUGGGUGAAUAGAAACGAGCCCCUUGAUUAAACCUGCCUUUCCCUUUGUUUUUAUUCCCAUUAAACUGCUUGUAUCCUCCAGAAAAGAAUUGAGACUGCCCAGAUGCAAGAUUAGGUGAUUGAUUCUUUCUAGAAUGAGAGACAUUAUUAGCAACCAUGGCAGUAAUAAAGGGUGCAGUUGUAGAGUUUUCAACAAUGACCUAUUCAGCAAGCAACUGAGAUCGAAACUCUUUAAGAGAGAUCACAUUCUCACGUCCUCGAAUAACACAGUGAAAAGUAUUAUAUUCAGAGGGUAACCCAUUGAGAGCAAGAAUAACUAUGUCCUCAUCAGCAAAAUAAACCCCAGCAGCAGAUAAGUAAUCUCUAGCCUCUUUAAUUCUGUGAAGAUACUGAGACACCGAAUCAAACCCUUUCUUUAUUGUCUGAAGAUUUGACUUCAUUUGAAAAAUACUAGUCUUAGACACUGUAAAGAACUGUUCUUUCAGACGAAUCCAAAGAUCAUGAGAACUCUUACUACCAAUAGCACAAGACAACGCAACAGGUGACAAAGUGGCUGUGAUCAAUUGCAUUAUAGCCUGAUCAUGCAUUUUCCAAACCACAAAUGCAUCUGUUUCAGCAGAAGGACAAGAGCUAGAUUGUAUACCAGAUUCAGCAGGAGAAACUGAAAAUUGAAGAGGACAAGGGUGCGAGCCAUCAACAAACCCCAUAAUACCAUUGCUUUCCAACAAAAGUUGUAUCUGAAAAUUCCAAUUGAGAUAAUUGGAGUCAUCCAAUUUGACAUUAACCGAAGUCGAGAUUGUGGAGAUUAAGGUGGUGAUCUGAGAUUGCACAAUUUGAAGCUGCGUUGCAAUCACCAUUGAAAUUUCGUCUGAAAAACUCUUUGAGGAAUUAUAGCAAACAGUUAAUAUGCAAGACGGAAGGAAGUAGGAAAGAUGAUCGAAGAAAGAUCACGACCACCCAAGAAACCCUAGAAAUCCAAAUUAUAAGAAGACAAAGAGAAUCAGAGAUACCAGAGCACAAGAUGAGAAGAACGAAUACACCUUCAAUCUGAGCAGAAGCAGAAGAUCGAAGAUUAUGCACAGACAACAAUGGCGAUUGAUACCAUGUUAAUUAAGAUCAAUCUUAUACAGUAAAGAAGAAGAAGAAGAAUGUAACAGACUUAGAGAGAGAGAGAGAGAGAACUUAGAGAGAAGAUGAAUGUUCUUGAUAUAUUUCUUAACAACCAAGUGAUACAAUGUUGAGGUAUUUAUCUUCUUACAACUACAAAACUAACUUCCUUAACUAACAUCUCUUCUAAUCUAAUUACAAGUGGCAACAUCUUAUACACCAAUAUCUCUAUUCUAUCAUAUAGGAGGACUAAAACCGACUAGGCUAGCUUAAUUGUUAAGCUACCUUUGACUGCUCAUGUACAACAAAACCUUAACCCUAGUAUAACAACCUUAACCAAUCAACUAAUGACAGAUGAAAUUGUACUAACAAUCCUGCCACUUAAAUUAUAUUUAUUUUUAUUUUUAAAUGAGAGAUCUUAAGUUUAAUUUUCGUGAUUAGUGAGUAAUACAUGGCUGACAUACACAUUAUAUGACUCAGCCUAUAUCCCUCAUCCUAAACCCUAAACAAUGACCUUAAGUCGGUUAAGAGGUUGAAGUUUCUGUUCUUGGAUUUAAUAUAUGUGAGACAUUUUCAAAAUUGACAACACCAAAAUGCAAGCGAAUGAGAUUUAUUAAAUAUAUUAUUGGACAAUGUGAACACGUGCAUAUCUUCCCUGUCAUGAUAUAGGGUUUGGCUUGGCUACACAGAACCUACAAUCGCCACAAAAAUGAAAAGCAAAACUCUUAAAGUUUCUCGUCAACCAAACACACACGCACACACACACACACAUGUAUAUUUGUUUUUCUAGCUACUUGCAAAGGUGGGAUACAGUCAACGUCAAUAAACAGGUAUAUUAUGACUGAAAGAUAUAUAAUCAUGAGAUCAAGUUGCUUAUUUAAUCAUGGAUCAACGAUCUUUCAAUGGAAACGAGUCAACAAGGUAAACAUUUGCAGCUGUAUCUAUCAUUCAAUCAUAUACUUGCAGAGAGGUUUUCAAAAGUACAAAUUAAAUAAUUCUGCUCAACAUGACUGAGUUCUUAUUGAUAGAUUGAUGCAGAAUUUUCAUAGUUCAUCCAUUUAGCUCUCAUUCAUGAAAUUAUAAAUAAACAUUAAAAAUUCAGUUCAAAACUUAACACAUCACGCGUUUUCAUUAAAUGAACUCUGUAUAUAAUUUAUCUAACUAAUGCAACAACUUACAAUGAUUUGUAAACUAUUGGAGCUUCGUAAGUCAACGAAUGAUUGAUACAACCUUAGGUCCUUUCUGUUUUUGGUGCGGAAUACAACUUUAGAUCCUUUCUUUUUUUCUCUAUAUGAAAUUUAUACUGUCAAUAAUAAUCCAUGCAUGCAAGUGUUUAUUCGAGAAGACCUUACUGAAAACCCGAGUGCUAGCCGAGCAGGUCAAGAGGCACUGAAGUCUUCGGAUUUUGAAUUUAUGAAAACUUUUCAUUUCCAAAACGCUAU
rnacentral:lncRNA from 1 species